UAUAUCUCAAAAACUAGAAGAACUAGUCAAAAAUUGUCAACUAACAAAAUAUUCCUCGUGAAAUUUUACACAUUUUGUUAGUUGAAAACUUUUUUCUAG
ensembl:ncRNA W09C5.14 ncRNA